UACGUAGGGGGCAAGCGUUGUCCGGAUUUACUGGGCGUAAAGGGCGCGUAGGCGGCCCACUAAGUCAGACGUGAAAUCCCCCGGCUUAACCUGGGAACUGCGUCUGAUACUGGAGGGCUUGAGUAUGGAAGAGGGAUGUAGAAUUCCAGGUGUAGCGGUGAAAUGCGUAGAUAUCUGGAGGAACACCGGUGGCGAAGGCGGCAUCCUGGACCGGCAUUGAUGCUGAGGAGCGAAAGCCAGGGGAGCAAACGGG
rnacentral:rRNA from 1 species